rnacentral:rRNA from 1 species
UACGUAGGGGGCAAGCGUUGUCCGGAUUUAUUGGGCGUAAAGCGCGUGUAGGCGGCUUUGCAAGUCGGGUGUGAAAUCCCUCAGCUCAACUGAGGAAGUGCGCCCGAAACUGAGUGGCUAGAGUAUGGUAGAGGGUCGCGGAAUUCCCGGUGUAGAGGUGAAAUUCGUAGAUAUCGGGAGGAACACCAGUGGCGAAGGCGGCGACCUGGGCCAAUACUGACGCUGAGGUGCGAAAGCGUGGGGAGCAAACAGG